AGAACCUCCAUGGAGACGGCAUCGCCUUGUGGUACACCCGGGACCGCCUCGUGCCAGGGCCUGUGUUUGGAAGCAAAGAUAACUUCCACGGCUUAGCCAUCUUCCUGGACACCUACCCCAAUGAUGAGACCACUGAGCGCGUGUUCCCGUACAUCUCGGUGAUGGUGAACAAUGGCUCCCUGUCCUACGACCACAGCAAGGAUGGGCGCUGGACCGAGCUGGCGGGCUGCACGGCUGACUUCCGCAACCGCGAUCACGACACCUUCCUGGCUGUGCGCUACUCCCGGGGCCGUCUGACGGUGAUGACCGACCUGGAGGACAAGAACGAGUGGAAGAACUGCAUUGACAUCACAGGAGUGCGCCUGCCCACCGGCUACUACUUCGGGGCCUCCGCCGGCACCGGCGACCUGUCUGGUGAGUGGGCCGGGCCAGGCGUUGGUUCCCAGCCCAACUCACCCUGAGGGACUGGGAGCUUUCCAUGCAGUUGAUUGCCUGCCUUCAUGUGGUUUCUGGGCUCACCUGGCUGUGUUCCUCCUCCUCCUUUC
rnacentral:sRNA from 1 species